UGCACCGUAGCUCAGUCGGGUAGAGCAACAAAAAGCGGCCUUCAGCAACUUGACCGUCGCGCAUGCGCGGUCCGAAUGAGAGUCGUUAUCGUCAAACACGGGUUGGUCGUGGGUUCGAAUCCCACCGGUGCAACCA
rnacentral:tRNA from 1 species